UACUAUAUGCGUUGUUAAGUGGAAUAUUUACAGACGCAAAGAAUCAAUUAACCCUCCAAAUUCCAUUGUUAAGUUUGGAUCGUUAACUAGCUAGGCAAUGUCCAAGAGCGACUCUCUGGUCAUAACAUGCAAAGCGGUGGUGUGUUGGGGGAUGGGGGAGCCGGUGAAGGUGGAAGAGAUACAAGUAGAGCCACCAAAAUCAUGUGAAGUACGCGUCAAAACCCUGUAUGCUAGUGUGUGUCACACCGACAUCUUAUUAACAAAUGGCUUCCCAAUCCCUGCUUUCCCUCGAGUUUUAGGACAUGAAGGUGUUGGUGUAAUAGAGAGUGUGGGUGACGAAGUAACAGAUCUCAAAGAAGGAGAUCUUGUCAUUCCAACCUUCAUUGGGGAGUGCCAAGACUGUGAGAAUUGUUUGUCAGGAAAGACCAACUUGUGCCUUAAAUACCCAGUACCCUUCAGUGGGCUUAUGCCUGAUGGCACUUCAAGAAUGUCUGCAAGAGGCGGCCAGAUGCUGUAUCACUCCUUUUCUUGCUCUACAUGGUCUGAGUACAUGGUUGUUGAUGCUAAUUACAUCCUCAAGCUUGAUCCAAGCAUAAUUGAUCUGCCUCAUGCUAGUUUUCUCUCAUGUGGAUUUUCAACUGGAUUUGGGGCUGCUUGGAAGGAAGCUGGGGUUGAGAAAGGAUCGAGUGUUGCUGUUCUUGGUCUUGGUGCUGUUGGAUUAGGGGCAAUAGAAGGGGCCAGAAUGCAAGGGGCAGCAAAGAUAAUUGGCAUUGACAAAAAUGAGAGAAAAAAGACAAAGGGAGAAGCUUUUGGAAUGACUGACUUUAUAAACCCAGAAAGACAUGGUCAUAAAUCUAUUUCCGAGCUAGUUAAAGAAUUAACAGGUGGAAUGGGUGUGGAUUAUUGCUUUGAGUGCACAGGGGUUGCACCCUUAGUCAAUGAAGCUCUCCAAGCAACAAAAAUGGGAAAAGGCCAAACAAUAGUAAUUGGAGAAGGAAAUCAUGCAACUGUGGAGAUCAAUUUCCUUUCCCUAGUGUUUGGUGGAAAUUUGAAGGGUUCCAUUUUUGGUGGGCUCAGAGUCAAAACUGACCUUCCUAUUAUAGUCGACAAAUGCAAAAAUAAGGAAAUCCAACUUGAUGAGCUUUUGACUCACGAAGUUAGAUUGGAAGAUAUAGAUACAGCAUUUGAGCUACUGAAACAGCCUGAUUGUGUGAAGGUUCUUAUCAAGCUGUGUGAUUGAUCCUAGCCUUUGCUUGUACAAGGAUUGCAUAAUAUAAGAAGAAAGAGGUCGAGAAGGGACUUUAUUACCCAUGUGAGGGGAAAUGGCACCCAGAUCACAAAUGUACCUACAUCGACUUAAGUUUCAUGUGCGUAAUAAAGAUGCACCAGAAGGUUCCAUUGCUGAAGGAUAUUUGCUGGAGGAAUUAUUGACGUUUUGUUCUCGUUAUUUAGAAUCCGCUCAAACGAUUUUCAAUAGACCAUCUAGAAACCCAGAUGAUUUUAAAGGAAAAGUUAUUGACGUUCGCCUCGAUUUUACGAAGUGGACUCAAGCACAUCGCUAUAUUCUCUUCAACUCUGAUGAUUUCACUCCAUUCCGCAUAAUGCACUUGGAAAUAUUGAGGAAUACAAUUGAUGAGAGGCAUGCAUCGAAUGACGAACUACAGAAGAGGCACCAAGACCAAUUUUGUAAUUGGUUUCAAGACUAUGUACAAUUGGUCCAAAAAAGAAGGCGAUGACUAUCAUAUCACACUUACGAAGACAAUUUACUUCAAUACCAAUUGUCCAUAGUGAGACGCAAUCAUACCCAUCCCUUGAUAGGAUGGCCCAUUCAUUACCCUCUAUAGAUGGGCCGCCCCCUUCUGUUGAUAGGAUGGUGGAGUCAUCUCCAUCUGUAGAUUGUCCUUCCCAGCCAUCAUUACCUUCACAGAAAGGGACCCAAGCUUCUACAUCGAUACAGAUGGGAGGCCAACUACCUAGACAUAUAGAGAUCAGCAGAGAGACCCAGUCAUGAACACCUGUACCAAUAGAACCACAUUCAGAAGUAGAAAAUGUCGACUUGUGUUUCGACAUUGGAGAUCGUUUUGUUGUCAUUGUUGAUAGUAAUGGAGGUAGAGUAAAGAGACAAUUGCACUCGAUUCAUGACAUUUGGCAUCUUCCAGAAGGAGAGCGAAUUGAUAUGGAGCUCAAUAAUCUUGGUCAACCCAUUAAAAAGCAAGACUCAAGGGUGGUAAGGUUUGGUGGCCUGAUAGCUAGAACUAAUAAGUUGGUUCCAAUAAUUUACAAGGAUUGGUGUUUGGUGCCUAAAACCAUAAAGGAGGAAGAGUGGAGUCUUAUAAUGGUAUAGAACUUGUAUUAAACCAUUAUUAUUAAUUAAAUAGUUAUAUUUUGAAAUUUUUGUUAGAAAUCAAGACAUAUACUUGUGUAAAUUUAUUUUGACUGUAUGACAAGUGUUUAAAGUUCCUGAUGACAAGUUGGAUACAUUCAAAAAAUGGAUACUGAAGGACCUGGGGAAGAAAUGGAAAGACUACAAGCAUGAAUUGAAGAAAAAGUUACUUCAUGAAAAAGACACCUUUGCAAUUGUGGCAAGGGCAAGUCUCGAUAUAGUGGAUUUAUCGCAACUAGAAGAGUUGGCCAAUCUUUGGUUCGAUCCAGAAUACAAGUCAAAAUGUAAUAAAAAUAAGGAGUGUCGCAAGAAGUAGUUGGUUGUUCACAGCGGAGGAUCAAAAAGUUAUGCAAGAUAUGCCCAUGAUGCG